GCAGUCGAACGAGACUUUUUAUUUGAUGCUUGCAUCUUUUAAAAAGUUGAGUGGCGAACGGGUGAGUAACACGUGGGUAACCUGCCUUAAAGUGGGGGAUAACACUUGGAAACAGGUGCUAAUACCGCAUAACCAUCAAAACCACCUGGUUUUGAUGUUAAAGAUGGUUCUGCUAUCGCUUUAAGAUGGACCCGCGGCGUAUUAGCUAGUUGGUGAGGUAACGGCUUACCAAGGCAAUGAUACGUAGCCGAACUGAGAGGUUGAUCGGCCACAUUGGGACUGAGACACGGCCCAAACUCCUACGGGAGGCAGCAGUAGGGAAUCUUCCACAAUGGACGAAAGUCUGAUGGAGCAACGCCGCGUGAGUGAAGAAGGUUUUCGGAUCGUAAAACCCUGUUGUCAGAGAAGAACGUGUGUGAGAGUAACUGUUCACGCAGUGACGGUAUCUGACCAGAAAGUCACGGCUAACUACGUGCCAGCAGCCGCGGUAAUACGUAGGUGGCAAGCGUUGUCCGGAUUUAUUGGGCGUAAAGGGAACGCAGGCGGUCUUUUAAGUCUGAUGUGAAAGCCUUCGGCUUAACCGAAGUCGGGCAUUGGAAACUGGGAGACUUGAGUGCAGAAGAGGAGAGUGGAACUCCAUGUGUAGCGGUGAAAUGCGUAGAUAUAUGGAAGAACACCAGUGGCGAAAGCGGCUCUCUGGUCUGUAACUGACG
rnacentral:rRNA from 1 species